GUCGUGAGAUGUUGGGUUAAGUCCCGCAACGAGCGCAACCCUUGUCCUAUGUUGCCAGCGGAUUAUGCCGGGGACUCGUAGGAGACUGCCGGGGUCAACUCGGAGGAAGGUGGGGAUGACGUCAAGUCAUCAUGCCCCUUAUGUCCAGGGCUGCACACAUGCCACAAUGGCCGGUACAAAGGGUUGCUAUUCCGCGAGGAUGAGCGAAUCCCAGAAAGCCGGUCUCAGUUCGGAUCGCAGUCUGCAACUCGACUGCGUGAAGUCGGAGUCGCUAGUAAUCCCGAAUCAGCAACGUCGGGGUGAAUACGUUCCCGGGCCUUGUACACACCGCCCGUCACACCACGAAAGUUGGUAACACCCGAAGCCGGUGGCCCAACCGCAAGGAGGGAGCCGUCGAAGGUGGGACCAGCGAUUGGGGUGAAGUCGUAACAAGGUAGCCGUACCGGAAGGUGCGGCUGGAUCACCUCCUUUCUAAGGAGUCCUACUCCUUCUCCGUUUCUUGGAGAGGGAACUCCUAAGUUGAUCACUGGCUAUUCGGCUGCUCGAGGAACCGUCACGGUCGUAGGUUUCGACCUCCCGAGACGGCGACGACAGGAGCCGGGCCGACCUCUGUUCCGUUUUGAGGGAGCGACACCCGUUCUGGGUCUCUCGCUUGCGCUGAUUUCAGCGCGUUCGCCCCUUGAGAGCUCCAUAGCGAGCACGAGCAUCUUUGUUCUCCAAGCUACAAAGAGCCAACGGUGGAUGCCUUGGCGCCUGAAGCCGAUGAAGGACGUGGGUGGCUGCGAGAAGCCACGGGGAGCUGCCUACCAAGCUUCGAUCCGUGGAUGU
rnacentral:sRNA from 1 species